UACGUAGGUGGCGAGCGUUGUCCGGAUUUACUGGGCGUAAAGAGCGCGCAGGCGGUCGUUCAAGUCGCGUGUGAAAGCCCCCGGCUCAACUGGGGAGGGUCACGCGAUACUGAUCGACUCGAAGGCAGGAGAGGGAAGUGGAAUUCCCGGUGGAGUGGUGAAAUGCGUAGAUAUCGGGAGGAACACCAGUGGCGAAGGCGACUUCCUGGCCUGUUCUUGACGCUGAGGCGCGAAAGCUAGGGGAGCAAGCGGG
rnacentral:rRNA from 1 species